rfam:Alpha proteobacterium Q-1 DNA, contig: contig000027.
CGGUGGGCCACGCCUCCCCAAUGAGGCGCGCGCUCUCUGUAAGGAGAGGAAAC